AUGCUGUGCUAAGAAGGAGUUGCAGCAUUCAGCCUGGGCAGCGGCUGAGCCCCAGGUUCGGCUCAAAAACACCUACCCACAGCUCUUGCAGGCCAGCAGAGACCAAGACACCUCACCACGCCCUCAAAGAGCCAGAGGGAUAUUGGACACUGUGAAACCAUAGAGGCGAGUCACCCCUGGGAACACAUAGGCCAGGAUACGCCGGUCAAGCUGGAAUGCGAUCUCUCCAACGAUGCGGCCAUCCUUCUCAGCACCCGCAAAACUCUGGAUCUCUGGCGUGUUUUCCUGGGACCUGGACACACAGCUCCCUCUCUGUCUGAGAAGCCAAAAGCCAUGUGAACCUGCAGAAGAUAGUGAGUCCCUUGGGAAGGAUGAUACCCAAGUCUAUCCAGAGAGAGUGGGGCUCUCCCCUGUUGUUCUCAGAUGCUGCUCUGCCACCCCACCAACUCAGCCUUCUCUGAGGACAGCGGGGACAUCACAGCCUGGCUCUGGAAAGAGCCAGACUCAUCCGGUCUACAACAUUGCCACCAAAGGCGGGCUGAUGUCUGACAGUUCAGUAUCAACUCUAUCUCGCCCAUGGCUAUGGAGAGGAUGACAGACUUACUGAAGAUGCUCUUCUUAUUCUUCUUCUUAAACUUCUCAGGACUACCCUGAAUCCCCCUAAAAACGGUCCCCAAAUAACCCCUCUCCACACAACAGCUUCUGGUAUAAUAGAAGUCAUCAUCAAACAAUAUAGUACAUAUCCAUAUCCUUUCAAAA